rnacentral:rRNA from 1 species
GACAGAGGGUGCAAACGUUGUUCGGAAUUACUGGGCGUAAAGCGAGUGUAGGCGGUCUCAUAAGUCGGGUGUGAAAGCCCCUGGGCUCAACCCCAGGAAGUGCACUCGAAACUGCGAGGCUAGAGUAUCGGAGAGGUUGGUGGAAUUCUCGGUGUAGAGGUGAAAUUCGUAGAUAUCGAGAGGAACACCGGCGGCGAAGGCGGCCAACUGGACGAAUACUGACGCUGAGACUCGAAAGCGUGGGGGAGCAAACAGG